GACCCCCAUGUUUCCUAUCCAGUAACCCCAGGCCACGACCUCCUCGCCAGGAACCGACAAAACAAAGACGAGCCUUUAGCGGCCUGAAGACGCGUUCAUGUGCAGACUCCAGGAGCCUGCAGCACUGCAGCACCACCAGAGGGAGGCGCUUAGCUGUUGUUGUUCCCUGUGUUCCAGUGCCAGUCUCCCCCUCUCCCAGCAGAGCCUCCCCUGAGCUCCCAGUCUGCCCGUCCAACAUCCUCCACUGUCACUGACUCUGGGCAGCAGGGGACUGGAUCCAACCCUGCUCCAGCCUCAGCCCUACCUCAUGGCCAUACUCAGAAAGGAGAGAAGGAAACAGAGGAGAUGGGUUUCUCCAGUCCCUAGUGUCUGUGAGGGAUCUCUCUGAGUUUGACAGCCCACCAUCCAGCCAGUACAGCCGAAGCACAGACCUGGGUAGUGGCCUGAGCAGUCCUCUAUGUGGUAUUGUACCUACACUGCUUUGAAGCAAUUGAAGUGAAAUGUAUUCGAUGCUGUUGCAUUCCCCAUGGGCCAAUUAGUUGUUUCAUUUCAUUUAGAAAUUCAGAAUUACUGUAACAGACUUGAAUUUUUAAUUGUUGCCAAGGCUUGCUUUCCUAUCAUGUCAAAUGGAAGGAUAAUUAUUCCAUAUAUCCUUUUUUCUUUUUAUAGCAAAUCUGAGUGACCUGGACUCAGAGGGUGGCUCUCCUCUCUUCCAGAACAGCUCCUCUUCCAUGUCCCUGUCUGUUCUGCCCUCAUGCAACCCACAGGACCCCCCAGCACACCAGCCCCCAAACCCAGCCCCUCACCACCCUCUACACCAUCCCCUCCCUACCCAGGCCCAACUCUGCCCACCUGACUGGACCACCACGGAGCCCCAGCCAGGCCAUGUCCUCCAUCCCAACCCAGACCCUACUACCCUAGCUUUCCCCUCAGACACCUGGCAGUCCUACCCCAGCCCACAGUGCAGGAUAACUCCCCGGCCAGGGUCACGGUUAGGGUCAGGUUUGACCUCAUCUCCUGUUGUGGCGGAGAGGCAGGACUGGACAUCACACCGCUGGUCAGUCCUUCCCCCGCAUCUCUCCUGUCAGAGGUGAGGAAUGAUUCCUGCCUGUCCCAUAUGGGCCGUUCACAGCCUCCUCCCAGCCCUCCCAGCCUCCUUCCCAGCCUCCCUCCCUGUCCAGCAGCAGCCUACACCGGUGCCCCUUACCUAGCGCCACGGGGCUGAUUGUCCACAACAUGGCUGGACAUCUUCCCUGGUACAAAGAGACGGCAGCCAACAGACAACAGAGGAAAUCAAAGCCUGGCUCUAUAGAGACGCCCUCCUCAGAUCAGAUGCUCCUGUCCCCAUCGCCGGUCUGCAUUGUGAGGUUCUGCUGUCAGCCCUGUUUUGUUUCCCCUCGUAAUAAAUAACGCAGAAAGCUUUUCUUUUCCCUUUAAAGCGGCAAUAGAAAGAGGACUCUUUUGAUGAAGAGCUGGUACCGUUUGAUUCCCAGUUCAAAGGCGCGCAAGGCCCCUUCACAAUAGGAGGGAGUGGGGGGGUUCCCUGCCUCGUGUGCCGUCCCCUCUCAGCCGCGGCUUCCCCGCGCUCUCGCCAUUCUCCCGGUCGCUGAAAGGGAGACGUGUAGCCGAUGGUCAUAAAUCCACACUGACCACCGCACGCUGACGGGGGAAACAGUUAGAGCUACGGUCCACAAUAGAAUAUAGCGGCUUUCCGUCGCAGCUAAUUUACCGUUUAGAAUAGAGAUAAAGGACGGGGCCACUGACAUCUGACUUUUAUGGGGGGCUUUAUGAAAGACUAUGAAAAGAGAGCAAACAAUUGGGAAAUUGUGUAUGGAUUUUCUUUCUCUAUCAGAAAUGAUGAUGCCGCCUGCGCUCUUCUAAGGUCCUUACUACUGAUUAGUAUCGGUUCCAGGUGCGUAGGAGUCAAAGUAAGAACACUGAAAGAGAUUUUGAC
ensembl:lncRNA